rnacentral:rRNA from 1 species
UGGGGAAUUUUGCACAAUGGGGGAAACCCUGAUGCAGCGACGCCGCGUGAUUUAGAAGGCCUUCGGGUUGUAAAAAUCUUUUUUACGGGAUGAAAAUGACAGUACCGUAAGAAUAAGGUCCGGCUAAAUACGUGCCAGCAGCCGCGGUAAUACGUAUGGACCGAGCGUUGUCCGGAAUCAUUGGGCGUAAAGGGUACGUAGGCGGCCUAGUAAGUUAGAAGUGAAAUAAUAUAGCUCAACUAUAUAAAGCUUUUAAAACUGCUAGGCUUGAGAGAUGGGAGGGAAAGUGGAAUUCCUAGUGUAGCGGUGAAAUGCGCAGAUAUUAGGAAGAAUACCGGUGGCGAAGGCGACUUUCUGGUCAUCAUCUGACGCUGAGGUACGAAAGCGUGGGUAGCAAACAGG